AUUGAACGCUGGCGGCAGGCCUAACACAUGCAAGUCGAGCGGAUGAAGGGAGCUUGCUCCUGGAUUCAGCGGCGGACGGGUGAGUAAUGCCUAGGAAUCUGCCUGGUAGUGGGGGAUAACGUCCGGAAACGGGCGCUAAUACCGCAUACGUCCUGAGGUAGAAAGUGGGGGAUCUUCGGACCUCACGCUAUCAGAUGAGCCUAGGUCGGAUUAGCUAGUUGGUGGGGUAAAUGCCUACCAAGGCGACGAUCCGUAACUGGUCUGAGAGGAUGAUCAGUCACACUGGAACUGAGACACGGUCCAGACUCCUACGGGAGGCAGCAGUGGGGAAUAUUGGACAAUGGGCGAAAGCCUGAUCCAGCCAUGCCGCGUGUGUGAAGAAGGUCUUCGGAUUGUAAAGCACUGUAAGUUGGGAGGAAGGGCAGUAAGUUAAUACCUUGCUGUUUUGACGUUACCAACAGAAUAAGCACCGGCUAACUUCGUG
rnacentral:rRNA from 1 species